GUAGUCUCGCACAGAUGCAUAUCAAUAAGCGGAGGAAAAGAAACUAACAAGGAUUCCCCUAGUAACGGCGAGCGAAGCGGGAAGAGCUCAAAUUUGAAAUCUUAAAGGGUUUCCCUUUACGAAUUGUAGUUUAAAGAAGUGUUUUCUGUUGAGGUUUUGGUAAAAGUUCUUUGGAAUAGGACAUCAUAGAGGGUGAGAAUCCCGUAUUUGACCUUUACUUUCAACUUUGUGAUACACUUUCAAAGAGUCGGAUUGUUUGGGAAUGCAGUCCAAAAUGGGUGGUAAAUUUCAUCUAAAGCUAAAUAUUGGCGAGAGACCGAUAGCGAACAAGUACCGUGAGGGAAAGAUGAAAAGAACUUUGAAAAGAGAGUUAAACAGUACGUGAAAUUGUCUAAAGGGAAGCGUUUGACACCAGUGUUGUUUUUCUGAAAAUCAAUUAAAGAACUGUUUAUGCUAAGCUGUUUAGACUUUAUCAGCUAACUGUUUAGUUUUGAGCUUUUCUUUAAUGCACUUUUCAGUUAACAAGUCAACAUCAAUUUCUUUUGCUGUAAAAAAGCUUGAGGAAGGUGGCUUGAGAUUCGUCUUAAGUGUUUAUAGCCUCUUGCCUAUGCAGUCGGAGAGAUUGAGGUCUGCAGCGUAGAUCCUUCGGGGCUAAAUGCAUUUGUGCUAAGUUAUAGCAUUUUAUAGACAACUUGUUGACUAUGAUUUGUCUUGUAGCUUACUCGCUUAUGUUAUUUUACCUACGCUUAGGAUGUUGAAGACUCUACAGAGAUA
rnacentral:rRNA from 1 species